UACGUAGGGUGCAAGCGUUGUUCGGAUUUACUGGGCGUAAAGGGCGCGUAGGCGGCGUGACAAGUCACUUGUGAAAUCUCCGGGCUUAACUCGGAACGGUCAAGUGAUACUGUCGUGCUAGAGUACAGAAGAGGCAACUGGAAUUCCCAGUGUAGCGGUGAAAUGCGUAGAUAUUGGGAAGAACACCUGAGGCGAAGGCGGGUUGCUGGGCUGACACUGACGCUGAGGCGCGAAAGCCAGGGGAGCGAACGGG
rnacentral:rRNA from 1 species